GUAAAAAGGGCUUUUAUCCAUUGCCAGAAUGACAACAUUGACAAACCUACAGGUUGUUGACCUGUAUUGAUAGCCUGUUCGACAUACAUUAUCUAAGAAUAUAUACAAAUAAAGAACCAACAACCCAAUACUUAGAAUUUGCCCCCUCAAUAUAGAGAACUCUUAAGGAGUCUUUCCAUUUGGACCAAUAAAUAACAAGCUUUAUAAUCGACAGAUACUAAACAAAGAGAAAGAGACCAACAUUACCGACCGACACCGGAUCGACCAUAAAAGGAAGGCUGAGAUUGCCUCACACCCAACUCCGAGGCAUGAUGUGAGGUUCCAUUGGCUGAUCAGGACCGGAAACUGUAUUUCUACUGCUUGAGCCCAGUCCUGAGCUGCAAGCAAGCAUUGCCAACAAACUUCCGCCAUGCACUCUGCCUUCGGGAACAAGAACCGACGUUGAUGGUUUUUCUGCUUCACUUCCUGCAAAGUGCUCAAGAUUAGGACCAACUUUGCCUCCUACCUUGACAAGAUCUUCAUUCAUGUAAUCUUCCCCGACUAUUCCUUUCAUCUUCUCUGUCUUGCUGAGAUUAGGGUCCUGAAUAAUAGGUCCAAGUGAGACACCCCCAUGAACCCUCUUAUCUUGCACAAGGCCACUAUGAAGUGCACAGAGACCCAUCUUCCCUCUGGCGAAUGAAUUGCAUGGGCAACAGGGUUGAGUGCCAUACUCAGACCCAGGAUGACCCCAAGAACAUCUUUUUCCUCCACCAUGUGCCUUGCAGAAA
rnacentral:misc_RNA from 1 species